rnacentral:lncRNA from 1 species
UGAGUCUCUGAGGUCACAGAGAGGUUGGGCAAGUUACCUACAGCCCCACAGCAGUGGACUGGAGCCCAGGGUCUGCCAUCCAGCGCACUGUGGCCUCCUUUAAACACUGCCUCUCCCAGGGAGCCACUCACCUGGAUGCCAGCAGCUCCCAGGUCCUGAUCCUGCUUCAGGCAAUCGUGGUGUGGCUGAAAGGGCUUGGAAUUGGGCAUCCAAGCUUCUCACUCUCUGUGCAACUGAACACAUGGUUUAACCGUCCUGAACUUCAGUUCCUUCAUACGCAAAAUGGAAUGGGCUCUCUCUGGCUCCCGGAACCCAUGAAGCCUGUGCUCAUGCAGCUGGAAGUGCCAGGGAAGAAACGCCCACCCUCCUCAGGUUCAGCCCUCAACCAAUGACUCACAGGAGUUGAGGAAUAAAUGUCCCUCGGGUGGGGACAACUCUGAUGAAUAUCUUCUACAUGGGUUCUCAGAGCUCCCCGGCAGAAUUAAGCUCUGGUUGCCCACAGUGGUAACUUGCUUGAUCACGCAUCCUUUCAUGGGCUGCCUCCCCUUCUCUAUCUCGCCUCCCCACUCUCUGGUGUUUCCUGGGAUCACUAUUUGCCCUGGAAUCAUUGUCUCAGGGGCAGCUUCUGGGGGAACUCAAGUGGAGACACUGGAUCAUUGUGAAGAUUAAACUUGUAAAGCUCUUCACAUAUACUAAGGGCUUAAUAAAUUUAUUGUUAAAUGAAUGAAUGAAUGAGGCUUCACCUGCCC